GUNCUCACUUCGGCAGCACAUAUACUAAAACUGGAACGAUUCACAGCAGGUUAGCAUGGCCCCUGCACAAGGAUGACACGCAAAUUCUUGAAGCAUUCCGUAUUANA
rnacentral:snRNA from 1 species